AACGCGAAGAACCUUACCUGCUCUUGACAUGGUAGGAAUCUGACAGAGAUGUUGGAGUGCCGCAAGGAACCUACACACAGGUGCUGCAUGGCUGUCGUCAGCUCGUGUCGUGAGAUGUUGGGUUAAGUCCCGCAACGAGCGCAACCCUUGUUCUUAGUUACCAACACGUUAUGGUGGGGACUCUAGGAAGACUGCUGGUGGUAAGCCAGAGGAAGGGGGGAUGACGUCAAGUCAUCAUGGCCCUUACGAGCAGGGCUACACACGUACUACAAUGGUCGGUACAGAGGGAUGCAAAACCGCAAGGUCAAGCAAAUCUCAGAAAGCCGAUCGUAGUCCGGAUUGAGGUCUGCAACUCGACCUCAUGAAGCCGGAAUCGCUAGUAAUCGCGGAUCAGAAUGCCGCGGUGAAUACGUUCCCGGGCCUUGUACACACCGACAUA
rnacentral:rRNA from 1 species